CAUAUCAGUCAUGCAUAGCAUAUCAAUAAGCGGAGGAAAAGAAACUAACAAGGAUUCCCUUAGUAACGGCGAGUGAAGCGGGAAGAGCUCAAAUUUGAAAUCUUCAAGGUUUUACCUUGACGAAUUGCUAGUUUAAAGAAGUGUUUUCUGUUGAAGUUUUGGUAAAAGUUCUUUGGAGUAGGACAUCAUAGAGGGUGAGAAUCCCGUAUUUGACCAUUACUUUCAGCUUUGUGAUACACUUUCAAAGAGUCGGAUUGUUUGGGAAUGCAGUCCAAAAUGGGUGGUAAAUUUCAUCUAAAGCUAAAUAUUGGCGAGAGACCGAUAGCGAACAAGUACCGUGAGGGAAAGAUGAAAAGAACUUUGAAAAGAGAGUUAAACAGUACGUGAAAUUGUCAAAAGGGAAGCGUUUGACACCAGUGUUGUUUUCUCGAAAAUCAAUUAAAAAGAGUUGGAUUUUGUGUUGUAUUGACUUUAUCAGGCUUUCUUCACUCUUUUCCAGCUUUUUUUAAUGCACUUUUCGUUUAACAAGUCAACAUCAGUUUCUUUUGUUGUAAAAAGGUCAUUGGAAGGUGGCUUUCUCUUCGGAGAAAGUGUUUAUAGCCUCUGACUCAUGCAAUCGGAGAGACUGAGGUCUGCAGCGUAGAUCCUUCGGGGUUAGAUACAUUUGUGCUAAGUUAUAGCUUUUCAUAGACAACUUGUUGACUAUGUUUAGUCUUGUAGCUUACUCGCUUAUGCUAUUUUACCUACGCUUAGGAUGUUGAACUCUAUCACACACAG
rnacentral:rRNA from 1 species